UACGAAGGGGGCUAGCGUUGCUCGGAUUGACUGGGCGUAAAGGGCGCGUAGGCGGUUCGUACAGUCAGACGUGAAAUUCCUGGGCUCAACCUGGGGGCUGCGUUUGAUACGUGCGGACUUGAGUGCGGAAGAGGCUCGCGGAAUUCCCAGUGUAGAGGUGAAAUUCGUAGAUAUUGGGAAGAACACCGGUGGCGAAGGCGGCGAGCUGGUCUGCACCUGACGCUGAGGCGCGAUAGCGUGGGGAGCAAACAGG
rnacentral:rRNA from 1 species